ensembl:rRNA 5S_rRNA 5S ribosomal RNA
GCUUACGGCCACACCUCCCUGAGCACAUCCGAUCUCGUCUGAUCUCGGUAGCUAAGCAGCGUCGGGCCCGGUUAGUACUUGGAUGGGAGACCGCCUGGGAAUACCAGGUGCUGGAAGCC